rnacentral:tRNA from 1 species
CUCGUAGCUCAGUCGGUAGAGCAUUUGACUUUUAAUCAAAGGGUCGUGGGUUCAAAUCCCGCCGGG